ACUGGGCUGGCUCUAUCAGAAGAGCAUGUGACUCUUGAUCUUGGGGUCAUGAGUUCAAGUCCCAUGUGCGGUG
rnacentral:tRNA from 1 species